CUUGAUCGACCCCAACCACAACGGCUGGUUCUCCGGCCGGUCCUGGCCGUAGGUCGCCAGCAGUGCCUGAGCCUC
rfam:Streptomyces sp. SCSIO 03032, complete genome.